CUCACCGCCAUGCCAUCAUUCAGUCAGCUGAGAGGGUUGGAGCGGGUAGGAGUGCCUGAGUGAUGGAGACAGCUCCUGGCUCAGCGCUCAGUUGGAGGAAGACACUCGAGUAGUUAACAUCUCUUUUUCUGUUUGCUCAGUCGAAUCAAGAAAUUCCUAUAGUUAACAUCUCAGUCGCAUUAAGGCACUCCAAUAUUAAACAUCAUAUGAUAGUACUAUUCACAGAAAGCAACAAAAAAGUGAACUGUA